rnacentral:rRNA from 1 species
UACGGGGGGGGCAAGCGUUGUCCGGAUUUAUUGGGUUUAAAGGGUGCGUAGGCGGUUAUAUAAGUCAGUGCUGAAAUAUCCCGGCUUAACCGGGAGGGUGGCAUUGAUACUGUAUGACUUGAGUAAAGUUGAGGUUGGCGGAAUUGACGGUGUAGCGGUGAAAUGCUUAGAUAUCGUCAAGAACACCGAUAGUGAAGACAGCUAACUAAGCUUUAACUGACGCUGAGGCACGAAAGUGUGGGGAUCAAACAGG